ncrna:unclassified sequences pemK RNA
CUAACGAUACUUCUGUCCAGCCACAGCUUCUUCACGCAAUGGGGACAGCUCGGAGCGAUCCUCGGAGGGGUUCAAAUCCCAUGG